rnacentral:rRNA from 1 species
UGGAGAGUUUGAUCCUGGCUCAGAUUGAACGCUGGCGGCAGGCCUAACACAUGCAAGUCGAGCGGUAACAGAAAGUAGCUUGCUACUUUGCUGACGAGCGGCGGACGGGUGAGUAAUGCUUGGGAACAUGCCUUGAGGUGGGGGACAACAGUUGGAAACGACUGCUAAUACCGCAUAAUGUCUACGGACCAAAGGGGGCUUCGGCUCUCGCCUUUAGAUUGGCCCAAGUGGGAUUAGCUAGUUGGUGAGGUAAUGGCUCACCAAGGCAACGAUCCCUAGCUGGUUUGAGAGGAUGAUCAGCCACACUGGAACUGAGACACGGUCCAGACUCCUACGGGAGGCAGCAGUGGGGAAUAUUGCACAAUGGGCGAAAGCCUGAUGCAGCCAUGCCGCGUGUGUGAAGAAGGCCUUCGGGUUGUAAAGCACUUUCAGUCAGGAGGAAAGGGUGUGAGUUAAUACCUCAYAUCUGUGACGUUACUGACAGAAGAAGCACCGGCUAACUCCGUGCCAGCAGCCGCGG